rnacentral:rRNA from 2 species
AGAUUAAGUUAUUAAGGGCGCACGGUGGAUGCCUUGGCACUAGAAGCCGAUGAAGGACGUUACUAACGACGAUAUGCUUUGGGGAGCUGUAAGUAAGCUUUGAUCCAGAGAUUUCCGAAUGGGGAAACCCAGCAUGAGUUAUGUCAUGUUAUCGAUAUGUGAAUACAUAGCAUAUCAGAAGGCACACCCGGAGAACUGAAACAUCUUAGUACCCGGAGGAAGAAAAAGAAAAUUCGAUUCCCUUAGUAGCGGCGAGCGAAACGGGAAGAGCCCAAACCAACAAGCUUGCUUGUUGGGGUUGUAGGACACUCUAUACGGAGUUACAAAGGACGACAUUAGACGAAUCAUCUGGAAAGAUGAAUCAAAGAAGGUAAUAAUCCUGUAGUCGAAAAUGUUGUCUCUCUUGAGUGGAUCCUGAGUACGACGGAACACGUGAAAUUCCGUCGGAAUCUGGGAGGACCAUCUCCUAAGGCUAAAUACUCUCUAGUGACCGAUAGUGAACCAGUACC